AACGCUGGCGGCGUGCUUAACACAUGCAAGUCGAGCGAUGAAGCACCUUCGGGUGUGAAUUAGCGGCGAACGGGUGAGGAACACGUGAGAAAUCUGCCUUCAACUCUGGGAUAACUCCGUGAAAACGGGGCUAAUACCGGAUAUGAAACCUGCGGGCAUCCGCGGGUUUGGAAAGUUUUUCGGUUGAAGAUGAUCUCGCGGCCUAUCAGCCCCCUGGUGAGGUAAUGGCUCACCAAGGCGACGACGGGUAGCCGGCCUGAGAGGGCGACCGGCCACACUGGGACUGAGACACGGCCCAGACUCCUACGGGAGGCAGCAGUGGGGAAUAUUGGGCAAUGGAGGAAACUCUGACCCAGCGACGCCGCGUGCGGGAUGAAGGCCUUCGGGUUGUAAACCGCUUUCAGCAGGGAAGAAGCGAAAGUGACGGUACCUGCAGAAGAAGCACCGGCUAACUAUGUGCCAGCAGCCGCGGUAAUACAUAGGGUGCAAGCGUUGUCCGGAAUUAUUGGGCGUAAAGAGCUCGUAGGUGGUUCGUCACGUCGGAUGUGAAACUCUGGGGCUUAACCCCAGACCUGCAUUCGAUACGGGCGAGCUUGAGUAUGGUAGGGGAGUCUGGAAUCCUGGUGUAGCGGUGGAAUGCGCAGAUAUCAGGAGGAACACCAAUGGCGAAGGCAGGACUCUGGGCCAUUACUGACACUGAGGAGCGAAAGCGUGGGGAGCGAACAGGAUUAGAUACCCUGGUAGUCCACGCCGUAAACGGUGGGCACUAGUUGUGGGGACCUUCCACGGUCUUUGCGACGCAGCUAACCCAUUCAGUGCCCCGCCUGGGGAGUAC
rnacentral:rRNA from 1 species